GAUCAUGGCUCAGGAUGAACGCUGGCGGCGUGCUUAACACAUGCAAGUCGAGCGAAGCACCUAAGAAAGAUUCUUCGGAUGAAUUCUUUUGUGACUGAGCGGCGGACGGGUGAGUAACGCGUGGGUAACCUGCCUCAUACAGGGGGAUAACAGUUAGAAAUGACUGCUAAUACCGCAUAAGACCACGGUACCGCAUGGUACAGUUGUAAAAACUCCGGUGGUAUGAGAUGGACCCGCGU
rnacentral:rRNA from 1 species